rnacentral:rRNA from 1 species
GACGAACGCUGGCGGCGUGCUUAACACAUGCAAGUCGAACGGAAAGGCCCUGCUUUUGUGGGGUGCUCGAGUCGCGAACGGGUGAGUAACACGUGAGUAACCUGCCCUUGACUUUGGGAUAACUUCAGGAAACUGGGGCUAAUACCGGAUAGGAGCUCCUGCUGCAUGGUGGGGGUUGGAAAGUUUCGGCGGUUGGGGAUGGACUCGCGGCUUAUCAGCUUGUUGGUGGGGUAGUGGCUUACCAAGGCUUUGACGGGUAGCCGGCCUGAGAGGGUGACCGGCCACAUUGGGACUGGGGAACGGCCAAGACUCCUACGGGCGGCAGCGGUGGGGAAUAUUGCACAAUGGGCGGAAGCCUGAUGCAGCGCCGCCGCGUGCGGGAUGACGGUCUUCGGGUUGUAAACCGCUUUCGCCGGUGACGAAGCGUGAGUGACGGUAAUGGGUAAAGAAGCACCGGCUAACUACGUG